GACGAACGCUGGCGGCGUGCCUAACACAUGCAAGUCGAGCGGAGUCGAUCGACGGAAGCCUUCGGGCGGAAGAUGGUUGACUUAGCGGCGGAUGGGUGAGUAACGCGUGGGCAACCUGCCUCGAAGACCGGGAUAACAGCCCGAAAGGGCUGCUAAUACCGGAUGUGGUCAAGGAUCCGCAUGGAUUUUUGAUUAAAGGGGAAACCCGUUUCGAGAUGGGCCCGCGUCCUAUCAGCUAGUUGGUGAGGUAAAAGCUCACCAAGGCGACGACGGGUAGCCGGCCUGAGAGGGUGACCGGCCACACUGGAACUGAGACACGGUCCAGACUCCUACGGGGGGCAGCAGUGGGGAAUCUUCCACAAUGGGCGAAAGCCUGAUGGAGCGACGCCGCGUGAGCGAAGAAGGCCUUCGGGUUGUAAAGCUCUAGUCUGGAGGGACGAAGGAAGUGACGGUACCUCCGGAGGAAGCCACGGCUAACUACGUGCCAGCAGCCGCGGUAAAACCAGACGCGUA
rnacentral:rRNA from 1 species